UCGUAGUCCGAUACCCAUCCGCCUUCGGGCCGGAACCUCAGCAGGCUGGCGACGGCGCCCGGCGCCCCGCCCUCCGGUGCUGGCUGGCGGAUUGCAAUGUCACCUCGCGCGGGGAUGCAUCCUCUGCAGACGACUCAAGUGACCAAGCGGGUCGUGUAAGCGGUCAAGUAGCCUUGUUGCUACGAGUCGCUGAGCGUCACCCGCCCUUGGCUAGAUUU
rnacentral:rRNA from 1 species